GAAAUCUCGAAGCAUAUUCGAGAUUUCGGAAAGCAUAACAUGUAUUGAUGUCCAAAUCGGAGUGUUAGAAGAAAAUUCAUGAACAGAGAACAAACAUUUGCUCCGCUGGAUUGUAGAAUCACAUUUAAAAGAACAACAGACCCUAAGUUUCACUUACGAGUCUUACAAUUUUCUUAUUUCCCCCCAACAAGUACAAUCGAAAAAAACAGAACUUCUAAAUCGAAAUACCAAAUGACUUCUUAAGCUUCUCAACUUCCAAAUAUACGGUGGAGUAAGGCAGAAAUUCUGAGUGGUGAGCAUUGGCCAAAUCAUUUAUUGCAGUGGAAAGUUUAGGUAUCUCUUUUAUCUCUUCAUGGGUCAAGGUCCUGACAAAUCUUGCGGGAUUCCCAGCCCAGAGUUCACCACUUGGAAUCCUCCUCCCAGGUGGGAGCACCGACCCAGCUUCAAGGAUCGAGUUAGUCUCCACCAAUGAACCUUCCAUAAGGAUAGAGU
rnacentral:misc_RNA from 1 species